rnacentral:lncRNA from 1 species
AAGAGGAAUGCGCAAGAAUAGCGAAAACCCGAAAACGUCGUGCCUAAGGAAGAUUUGGACAACGUUGCUUGUUUCCAUGUGUGUAUGAGCUGGAAAUGGGCCCAUGUUGAUGAUGGGACGUGCACACGGUUUCUCAGGGAUUCACCCCAGAUGAUGUCAACGGCAGGUUUUAACGUAACACUGAAGGGCAUAGGUCAGUUAUAUAACAAGGUGAAUGGAAAGAUGUAACCAGCACAACGCUAUUCACUCCAGAAUGAUGUCCUCCUGAG